AGUCGAGCGGCAGCGACACAUUGAACCUUCGGGGGAUUUGUUGGCCGUUAAGCGGCGGACGGGUGAGUAAUGCCUGGGAAAUUGCCCUGUUGUGGGGGAUAACCAUUGGAAACGAUGGCUAAUACCGCAUGAUAGCUUCGGCUCAAAGAGGGGGACCUUCGGGCCUCUCGCGUCAGGAUAUGCCCAGGUGGGAUUAGCUAGUUGGUGAGGUAAGGGCUCACCAAGGCGACGAUCCCUAGCUGGUCUGAGAGGAUGAUCAGCCACACUGGAACUGAGACACGGUCCAGACUCCUACGGGAGGCAGCAGUGGGGAAUAUUGCACAAUGGGCGCAAGCCUGAUGCAGCCAUGCCGCGUGUAUGAAGAAGGCCUUCGGGUUGUAAAGUACUUUCAGCAGUGAGGAAGGAGGUAUCGUUAAUAGCGGUAUCUUUUGACGUUAGCUGCAGAAGAAGCACCGGCUAACUCCGUGCCAGCAGCCGCGGUAAUACGGAGGGUGCGAGCGUUAAUCGGAAUUACUGGG
rnacentral:rRNA from 1 species